rnacentral:rRNA from 1 species
AACGAACGCUGGCGGCAGGCUUAACACAUGCAAGUCGAACGCCCCGCCAGGGGAGUGGCAGACGGGUGAGUAACGCGUGGGAACAUACCCUUUUCUACGGAAUAGCUCUGGGAAACUGGAAUUAAUACCGUAUACGCCCUCCGGGGGAAAGAUUUAUCGGGGAAGGAUUGGCCCGCGUUGGAUUAGCUAGUUGGUGGGGUAAAGGCCUACCAAGGCGACGAUCCAUAGCUGGUCUGAGAGGAUGAUCAGCCACAUUGGGACUGAGACACGGCCCAAACUCCUACGGGAGGCAGCAGUGGGGAAUAUUGGACAAUGGGCGCAAGGCUGAUCCAGCCAUGCCGCGUGAGUGAUGAAGGCCGUAGGGUUGUAAAGCUCUUUCACCGAUGAAGAUAAUGACGGUAGUCGGAGAAGAAGCCCCGGCUAACUUCGUG